UACGAAGGGGGCUAGCGUUGCUCGGAAUUACUGGGCGUAAAGGGCGCGUAGGCGGGCCGGAUAGUCUGUGGUGAAAGCCUCCAGCUUAACUGGAGAAGUGCCAUGGAUACUGCCGGUCUGGAGGAGGGUAGGGGCAUCUGGAACGCUGGGUGGAGCGGUGAAAUGCGUUGAUAUCCAGCGGAACUCCGGUGGCGAAGGCGAGGUGCUGGACCCUUUCUGACGCUGAGGCGCGAAAGCCAGGGGAGCAAACGGG
rnacentral:rRNA from 1 species